AUACGUAGGGGGCGAGCGUUGUCCGGAAUGAUUGGGCGUAAAGGGCGCGUAGGCGGCCCGGUAAGUCUGGAGUGAAAGUCCUGUUUUUAAGAUGGGAAUUGCUUUGGAUACUGUCGGGCUUGAGUGCAGGAGAGGUAAGUGGAAUUCCCAGUGUAGCGGUGAAAUGCGUAGAGAUUGGGAGGAACACCAGUGGCGAAGGCGACUUACUGGACUGUAACUGACGCUGAGGCGCGAAAGUGUGGGGAGCAAACAGGAUUAGGUACCCUGGUAGUCCACACUGUAAACGAUGAAUGCUAGGUGUAGGGGGUAUCGACCCCUUCUGUGCCGCAGUCAACACAAUAAGCAUUCCGCCUGGGGAGUACGGCCGCAAGGUUGAAACUCAAAGGAAUUGACGGGG
rnacentral:rRNA from 1 species